UACGUAGGGUGCAAGCGUUAUCCGGAAUUAUUGGGCGUAAAGAGCUCGUAGGCGGUUUGUCGCGUCUGCCGUGAAAGUCCGGGGCUUAACCCCGGAUCUGCGGUGGGUACGGGCAGACUUGAGUGAUGUAGGGGAGACUGGAAUUCCUGGUGUAGCGGUGAAAUGCGCAGAUAUCAGGAGGAACACCGAUGGCGAAGGCAGGUCUCUGGGCAUUAACUGACGCUGAGGAGCGAAAGCAUGGGGAGCGAACAGG
rnacentral:rRNA from 1 species